AUUGUAAGAAAAUAAAAUUUUACACUUUUACUAGACCUGUUGCACCAGAUCGUGAAUACCCCUAUAGAUUUACGGCCAUAUUAUUCACUAGUUUAAAAAAUACAUCUGGAUUUAAACAAUGUCAAAUGUCAAAAAUAAAUCCUAAUCCAUAAUAUUCACUACUUAAAUCCAAUCUUAAAUCCAAUUUUUUAAAUCCAAUCUCGUUAAAUCCAAACAAAUUUAAACUGGUCUCUGGAGGUCUGUUUAACUUUAUAAAUCCAGAUGUAAAAUUCAUUUUCACAGUCUUCAGUUGUUUUGUCAAGUAUUUUGUGAAGGAAAAAUAAAGAUAAAUGCAAAUUAUACAAAAUUUAUUGAAUAAUCACAUAAUUAUUUUUGAGUGAAUAAUAUGAACAAAAAAUUAAAUCCUUGGAUUUAUGAAAUUCAGAUUUAAUGGGUUGGAUUUAAAAUUAUCUUAAAUCCAAACUAAAUCCAGAGUGAAUAAUAUGGCCGUUAGGGUAGCUGAACCCAAAUCUGAGAUUAAGCGAAGUAUCUCGAGAUUUAUUCUAAAUCUACUGAGCUAACAGGGCUAUUCUGGUGUAGUGAUGCUCACAAGUCACAAUUUUUUGUGAGGUUAUUUUUGUCAGGUUUCUUAUGAGGUUGUCACAAUUUGGUAUUCUGCGGAAAACCUCAUAAGAAACCUCACAGCAAAUUCACCACUAUAGAGGUGAGUUUCUUUUUUGACAGCCAGCUGAUUUUUCAAACAAAUUAAAAAUUUUAAUUGAAAAAAGUUUGUUUUAUCUUGUCGUGUACUUGAUUUUUUUAUUGUUAAUUUUUAAUAAAAUUGUCACUGAAGUGAACAUUGACUUCUUAAAAAGCAUCCUAGCAACGCGUACGUCCAAUUUUACAGAAGGAAAAUGCUAAGAUUCCAUCUCCCAAUGUUAUGAUGUAAGUGGUAGCAAAGUGGAAGGAUUUCUGCGAAUUGAGAACCAACAUACGGAAUGAAACUAGCCGAAAAAAUCAAGAACCACGUUCAUAUUGACCUUCAAGUAAUGAAAAGCCCGAUGACAUCGUCAAAGAAGGAGGACCAGGACGUGAGAAGAAAGGGCGAGCGUGUAAAAAAACAGUUAACAGGUUUCACAGACGGUGGAGUUAUGGCUGCAGAUCAACGGAAUGAAAACAAUUGGCAAUAAGACAACUCAUUUGAUUUCUUCUCGGUUUAUUCGAGUGUCUUCGAUGAAAACCGACGAAUUUGAAAAACGUAAUGACAAUGGGAGUCAUCGAUGAUCGCCGAUUGCCACCAACUUGCUCGUGUCGCAGAAAGCACUGAAGUCCUCGUUUUCAAUUCUUGCCAGCGAAAGAGCUUCUUGAAAUCAGUUUACUCACAGUGAUUAGUGAGGUCUGUUCAAAUUGCUCCAAAGUUUUAGUUAUUGAGGAGGCCUGCACAGCGUCUGCAUCGGAAGAUGUCAGAUCGGCUGGCCAAGUAGAGAUGCAGCUUUAUCGAUAGUUAACAGGUGUAUGAAGUGUUUAAAAUUGUUUCAACAUUUUUUUUUACAAACAGUUUUAGCCGCUUGCUCUACCUGGCAAGCAGCUGGUUUGUCUUUAGAAGAGCAAUACUUUCUCAUGUUGACAAUUGUGAAUAUAUUUUAUUAUUACAUAUUAAUUAUAUCGACUAAUUAAAUUUAUUAUAAACUGAAUGGCAAAUACACAAAAACUAGAUCCAAAAUAAUUAUUAAUUGUUGUCUGCACCCCACAGAUUUCAUUAAGUGAAAGCUUUCAGCUUUAUUUUUUUUAGGAAGUGCAUCUAAUCAAACAAAUUACUCGUACACAAGGAUGUAGGUUGGAAGUCACUAGAUGCGUUCUUCAUUACCUCGUCAAGAAUAUUUUUUUGAAUUUGUUGCCAGUCAUUUGAACUAGAGUUGGUUGAGGAAAUGGAAGAACAUAUAAAUGAUUUAAGGUUUU